GGCCCCAGUCCUCUACCUGUGUGUGAUUUCUAGAUGUGUUGUGACGCACUACUGCUUUGAUUGAGUUUUUAGCAUUUUUUUCCUUUUUAAUAUUUGUGUACUUAUUGUUCUUAGUGGUAAUAUUGCCUUUUAUUGAUCUAAGUGGCCUCUUUAUCCUCACCGUUCUUAGUUUUAAACAUCGUCCUUUAAGGAUGCCAACCACCGUUGUACACUCCUUGAUUUUCAACUUUAGACUUUGUUGUUGUGGGUUUUUCGGGCUCUUUGGCCGUGUUCUGAAGGUUGUUCUUCCUGACGUUUCGCCAGUCUCUGAGGACUGGAGCAGGAACUCUGUCCAUGCUCUGUUCCUACUCCAGUCCUCUGAAGAUGCCGGCCACAGAGACAGGCGAAAUGUCAGGAAAAACAAUCUUCAGAACAUGGCCAAAGAGCCCGAAAAACCCACAACAACCAUCAGAUCCCGGCUGUGAAAGCCUUCGAGAACACAUUUAGACAUUGUCUUUCAUUGUGCCAACCCCCCUCGGGUCUUGUCCAAAAUAUUUUUAAAUAAACAAAUCAAAUCAAUGAGUCACCUCUAUAAAUCAUUGAUUCCCUCCAACCUGGAUUGAAAAAGAAAAAGUGCAACACAGCUCCUUGGAGAUAAUCCAAGAUUUUUGGAUCUACACUGCCGAUUUGCAUCUGGGUGACCGCCGGUAUGAAAAUAAGGAGGAUCCUUUAUAACUCAUGGCGUAGAAGGAGUUAAAGAAGAGGCUCAUAGAAAGUUUGAUAGUAAUGCACUGUCUUCCGCCGCCCCACAAUCUCUCUCCUCUUCUCUCUGUGUCUCUGUUCCUCCUGAUGAGGCAGAACGGUGCUUGCAAAGAUCCAUCUCUCAGCCCUCGUUCUUUGUUGCCCAGAGAUCACCUGCAAAAUCGCAAUGCAACAUCGUGGCAUCCAGCGGGUAGAAAACACACUCUGACUGUGCACUCUCUGGAAAGCCCGGCUGUCCAUCUCCAGCAUCAAAACAGUGAGGAUCGGAUGCCGAGCUUUCCCGUGGGUCCUCCCGAAGCAGGGGUCUCGGGGGGGGGCAUGCCUUCUCUGGCCGGCUUGAUAGGAAAGGUAAGGGCUUGUGUUUCUUUCUCUUUUUGAAAACAACCUACUGGUUUUCUUCCCUGCAUUUCAUGGGCUCUUGGUGGGCUGUUUUCUCAUUUUUGUUGUGAAAUCUCGUGGGAAAGGGACCCUUUUUGACCGAAAGGAGGAACACGGAUGCUCCCAAAGGAUUCCUCUUUUGAAAGCAUGCAUGAAGCUCUCUGUUGUUCUGGGUGGGUGGCUAUUUUUAAGAGGAAGGGAAGAGAUCUUGAAAGCUAUGAACCCUGCGAGGCCAGAGUAUGGAUUUGGGUGGGUGAAGAAACCCACGUCCUGGGGACCAGGAGGUGUUGUCUUUAAACCAGGUGGUGCAGGACAAUCUGCCAGGUAAAAUCCAAGGGCGAUAGAGCCAUGUGAAUUACUAGGACCCCAGUCGUUCACUCGGUCCUCUUGCAAGGGCUCUCUUGGUUUGACACUUGGCUAGAAGAACAUCUUCAGCCGGGCCAGCUCUCGGAGGAGGUGGCUAGCCAAAGUGGCCGGUUCCAGAGAGAGAGAGGGAGGGAGGGAGAGAGAGAGAGAAAGAGAGAGAGAGAAACCAACUCUUAAUUAUUCCUUUAUGAUUGUGUUUAUAAUACAGGAGAAGGGGAGAAGCUUUGAUUUUCCGGCUCCAUGGGUAGCUUUCCAUGGGCUUUAGUUGGGCUCUGUGAACUUUCCUGUGAGUGAGUGGGCGGAGCCAUCGGCUGGUCUGUCUCAGGCAGCAAAAUCUCUUUGGCUGACCCUGCUGGACAAUCCCCCCUCCCCUUUUUUCUUCAAGGAUGCUAAUUUGUCCUCUGCUUUGGGAUAGUGAAGAAGAAGAAGAAGAAAAACUGGCUUAUCAGCUGCUGCAACCACAAUGUUUACUCCAGUUGCCUGGGUAUAAGGAAGGACUCCUCUUACUCAGCUUCUGGGCUUAAGGAAGCCUAGUUCCCACCUCUGGUUGGUGGUAUCUGGGAAACGCAGAAGUGAAGAUAAGAUCCUGCUUCAACACUGCUAACUGGAGAGAAAGCUUUCAUUGAGAAGUAGC
ensembl:lncRNA